UACAGAGGGUGCGAGCGUUAAUCGGAAUUACUGGGCGUAAAGCGCGCGUAGGCGGCUUUGUAAGUCGGGCGUGAAAUCCCCAGGCUUAACCUGGGAACUGCAUUCGAGACUGCAUUGCUAGAGUAUGGGAGAGGGAAGUGGAAUUUCCGGUGUAGCGGUGAAAUGCGUAGAUAUCGGAAGGAACAUCAGUGGCGAAAGCGACUUCCUGGACCAAUACUGACGCUCAUGUGCGAAAGCGUGGGGAGCAAACAGG
rnacentral:rRNA from 1 species